GAGACAGCAGUCGCCGCGGUAACACAGAGGGUGCGAGCGUUAAUCGGAUUUACUGGGCGUAAAGCGUGCGUAGGCGGCUUUUUAAGUCGGAUGUGAAAUCCCUGAGCUUAACUUAGGAAUUGCAUUCGAUACUGGGAAGCUAGAGUAUGGGAGAGGAUGGUAGAAUUCAAGGUGUAGCGGUGAAAUGCGUAGAGAUCUGGAGGAAUACCGAUGGCGAAGGCAGCCAUCUGGCAUAAUACUGACGCUGAGGUACGAAAGCAUGGGGAGCAAACAGGAUUAGAUACCCCUGUAGUCCCUGUCUCUUAUAC
rnacentral:rRNA from 1 species